UACGUAGGGACCAAGCGUUGUUCGGAUUUACUGGGCGUAAAGGGCGCGUAGGCGGCGUGGUAAGUCACUUGUGAAAUCUCUGAGCUUAACUCAGAACGGUCAAGUGAUACUGCUGUGCUAGAGUGCGGAAGGGGCAAUCGGAAUUCUUGGUGUAGCGGUGAAAUGCGUAGAUAUCAAGAGGAACACCUGAGGUGAAGACGGGUUGCUGGGCCGACGCUGACGUGAUGCGCGAAAGCCAGGGGAGCAAACGGG
rnacentral:rRNA from 1 species